AUUAGUAAACCUUUGUAAAAUUAUCCCGUAAACUAGUUUGUUUACUAGUUUCUUUCGGUAUUAUUUUUAACAAAUACUUGUCUCCUGUGGCUUUAUGCCCUCUAUUGUGUUGUCAAGAAGGCUUACACACUUGUCUAAAGCCAGAAGAGGCUCUCUACGAUGGUCCUAUGGUUGCAGUUGGAAGCACAAAGUCAAAGACUUGCCAUAAUCUGUCAGAAACCCUUUAAACUCUCUCCUGUGAAGCUGUGGCUUAUAUUCUCUAUUGUGUUGUCGAGAAGGUUUGCACACUAUUAUGAAACCAGAAGAGGCUCACAUCUACCUCUACGAUGGUCCUAUGGUUGCAGUUGGAAGCACAAAGUCAAAGACUUGCCAUAGUCUGUCAGAAACCCAGUUCAAAACAUCACGAUCAUCCAACCAUCAUAGAGGUAGAUGAGAGCCUCUUCUGGCUUUGUGUGCAAGCCUUCUCAACACAACACCAUAGAGAAGGCCACAGCUAGCUAGCUAGCUAGGCUAUAAAAAGCUUCAUAUAAUAGUAGAUAGUACAUGGGUGUGGACGGCCACGCCUAUAAUUAAUUACACAUGCAAUAGGUACCAGGCCGUAUUUUAAUCGGCCUGGAUUCGAGGCUAGCAUAUUCACUUAUCCAGGUGUCCGGAUACUCGAGGUUCUACUGUACAAGUAACUGUGCUUAGUCCGUGCAACUCACUUAUAUUUCGAGUGACAGAGGACAUGGCUGGUAGUACAAACAGUCGAGCAAAAAAUUUAUAAUGUGACACACUCAGCAGCACAAGUACUAGAAGAAACAUUCCUAUUAGUGUUGUAAACUGUCUAACUGUCUGGCUAUGUUUGUUUCAUAACACUUUGUUGAAUUAUUCA